rnacentral:rRNA from 1 species
UACGUAGGGUGCGAGCGUUGUCCGGAAUUACUGGGCGUAAAGAGCUCGUAGGUGGUUUGUCGCGUUGUUCGUGAAAACUCACAGCUUAACUGUGGGCGUGCGGGCGAUACGGGCAGACUGGAGUACUGCAGGGGAGACUGGAAUUCCUGGUGUAGCGGUGGAAAUGCGCAGAUAUCAGGAGGAACACCAGUGGCGAAGGCGGCU